rnacentral:rRNA from 1 species
UCCAGACUCCUACGGGAGGCAGCAGUGAGGAAUAUUGGUCAAUGGGCGGGAGCCUGAACCAGCCAAGUCGCGUGAGGGAAGACGGUCCUAUGGAUUGUAAACCUCUUUAGGCGGGGAGCAAUGCCGGGCACGCGUGUCCGGAGGGAGAGUACCCGCAGAAUAAGCAUCGGCUAACUCCGUGCCAGCAGCCGCGGUAAUACGGAGGAUGCGAGCGUUAUCCGGAUUUAUUGGGUUUAAAGGGUGCGUAGGCGGAUUUUUAAGUCAGCGGUAAAAUGUCCGGGCUCAACCCGGGCCGGCCGUUGAAACUGUGUCCCUUGAGUGCGCGAAGGGUAGGCGGAAUGCGUGGUGUAGCGGUGAAAUGCAUAGAUAUCACGCAGAACUCCGAUCGCGAAGGCAGCCUACCGGCGCGCAACUGACGCUCAUGCACGAAAGCGUGGGUAUCGAACAGGAUUAGAUACCCGGGUA